rnacentral:rRNA from 1 species
UACGUAGGGUGCAAGCGUUAAUCGGAAUUACUGGGCGUAAAGCGUGCGCAGGCGGUUAUGCAAGACAGAUGUGAAAUCCCCGGGCUCAACCUGGGAACUGCAUUUGUGACUGCAUGGCUAGAGUACGGUAGAGGGGGAUGUAAUUCCGCGUGUAGCAGUGAAAUGCGUAGAUAUGCGGAGGAACACCGAUGGCGAAGGCAAUCCCCUGGACCUGUACUGACGCUCAUGCACGAAAGCGUGGGGAGCAAACAGG